UUCCCAUCCACUGUGAGAGCAGGAAGGGGGCUUGCAACCUGGUCCCCUUGGGACAGCAGCUUGGGCUUUCAAGGAGGGACAGAAAAGAAGUGGCCAAGGCAGCUGGAGGCCCCAGUGUCCCGUCCAUGCUCCUCUCCUCUGGGUGACGGCCGGUCCGGCUCACGCUAAGGUUCAGGGCUGUGGCAGACACCCAGGAGUGACCAAAGCCAACAACUCAUUUUGCAGUCUUGCCACAAGUUACUGUUCCUUCAUCUCACCAGCCAGCAGGUGGGGGGAUAGCGUCUGUCAUCCCAGCCUGGAGGACAGGCCCUGUGUGACAGCUUCUCCUUCAGCAGACUCCUGGGAAUACUUGCUCAUGGAUGCCACGAGCAUGGAGCCCACACAGAGCUGCGACCACAGUGGGGGUGGGCUCAGAGGUGUGGUCCAGCUCCUGGCUUGGCUGCCUUUUCUGCGUGGCGCUGGCAUGCCCCGUGUCUCCGCUUAGAAGUGGGCAUGGGACGCUGUGGAUCAAAGGUCAGAUUCAGCUCGUCUGGCCCUGACUUCUUUAUACUUCUGUGAUUCCUUCUUCCCCUUGAUGAGUAUGAGUGGGCAGUGAAGUUGGACACUCAGUGUGAUGUUAGUCUUUGAGUGCCGCACCCCUUGUUCUGGAUUCUUCUCCACCUUUCUCCUGCACCCUGCUCAUGUCCUCGUGUUGCUACAUCCCAUCCUGACAGAGAAAAGACAACUCUGGCAAACCUAUCUCCAGUUUUCCUCGUUCCCUCCUGUGCUUCCUUAGCACGCCUGAGCAAAGGGGCUCAAACACCGGCCUUUACACAUGGCCUUCUGGGAUCCCGGAUUCUUGCUGCAACAUGAACAGGGAUGUGAAAUGCGUGGUUCCUCUUGCGUGGACUCAGUCAGCCUCCGUGGGGCCACACUUCUGAGGCGAAGGAGAGUGUGGAUCCUUGAACGAUGCGCCGAGAAACCCUGUUCUGUCCCCACCCCAGAAGGCAUUUGCUCCAGCUGAAUAAAGCCAUUAGACGGACCA